AACAAAUUAAAUCUAUUUUUUUAGGGUUCCGUAGCCAAAUGGCAAAAAACGGAACCCUUAUGGAUUCGUCAUGUCUGUCUGUCUGUCCGUCCGUAUGUCACAGCCACUUUUUUCCGAAACUAUAAGAACUAUACUGUUGAAACUUGGUAAGUAGAUGUAUUCUGUGAACCGCAUUAAGAUUUUCACACAAAAAUAGAAAAAAAAACAAUAAAUUUUGGGGGUUUCUAAUAUCAUUUUUUUCUAAACUGAAUAGUUUGCGCGAGACACACUUCCAAAGUGGUAAAAUGUGUGUCCCCACCUGUAACUUCUAAAAUAAGAGAAUGAUAAAACUAAAAAAAAAUAUAAUUAUGAUGUACCUUACCAUGCAAACUUCCACCGAAAAUUGGUUUGAACGAGAUCUAGGAAGUACUUUUUUUUUAAUACGUCAUAAAUCAACUGAAACUCAAUUUUUUUUCAUCAAACCCAUACGUGUGGGGUACCUAUGGAUAGGUCUUCAAAAAUGAUAUUGAGGUUUCUAAUAUCAUUUUUUUCUAAACUGAAUAGUUUGCGCGAGAGACACUUCCAAAGUGGUAAAAUGUGUCCCCCCCCCUGUAACUUCUAAAAUAAGAGAAUGAUAAAACUAAAAAAAAUAUAUGAUGUACAUUACCAUGCAAACUUCCACCGAAAAUUGGUUUGAACGAGAUCUAGUAAGUAGUUUUAUUUUUAUACGUCAUUAAUCGUACGGAACCCUCGAUGGGCGAGUCCGACUCGCACUUGUCC